AUUUCUGACUCGCGCCAUCUCUGUACAAAAAUACGUAUUUCUUGGGAAGAACAGCGGGCCACGAUGUUUUAUUAUGACAGAAAAUACUUUUUUGCUUACCUUGAAAAAGCCCGGUAAAACUGAACGCUUUCAUGUCUGCUCCCUGGAUAUAAUGGCAUCUUAGCACGGACUAUCAACCAGCCCAGAAAGCCACUUCUGUACAACGACACAGUCCAACAUCACUAACGCAACAAAGCAGCACUACUAGCAGCUGGACUCACCAUGACAAGGACCCUAGCUACAAAAUCAGCCUUUCCAUUUAUUUCCAACAUUCUCAAAUACAUUCUCUGAACUAUAA